UUUUGACUUUACGCUCCAUUUUUCUUUCACCAGGCCUCAUGAGAAUGUGUUGCAAAAUGUCAAGUUUGUGACAGGGUUCAGCUAACCACAGUAUCCUCAAUUCAACACCACCCACGGUUUCUAUCCAUUCUGUCCUGUCAGAAGCACAUCAAGCAGCCUCUGAGAGUAAUCACAUCAAAAUCGAUUUUCAUGGCUGAGAGAAAAAUAAUGGAAAU
rnacentral:lncRNA from 1 species